rnacentral:rRNA from 1 species
GAACGCUGGCGGCGUGCUUAACACAUGCAAGCUCGAACGGUGAACACGGAGCUUGCUCUGUGGGAUCAGUGGCGAACGGGUGAGUAACACGUGAGCAACCUGCCCCUGACUCUGGGAUAAGCGCUGGAAACGGCGUCUAAUACUGGAUAUGUGACGUGACCGCAUGGUCUGCGUCUGGAAAGAAUUUCGGUUGGGGAUGGGCUCGCGGCCUAUCAGCUUGUUGGCGAGGUAAUGGCUCACCAAGGCGUCGACGGGUAGCCGGCCUGAGAGGGUGACCGGCCACACUGGGACUGAGACACGGCCCAGACUCCUACGGGAGGCAGCAGUGGGGAAUAUUGCACAAUGGGCGCAAGCCUGAUGCAGCAACGCCGCGUGAGGGACGACGGCCUUCGGGUUGUAAACCUCUUUUAGCAGGGAAGAAGCGAAAGUGACGGUACCUGCAGAAAAAGCGCCGGCUAACCACGUGCCAGCAGCCGCGGUAAUACGUAGGGCGCAAGCGUUAUCCGGAAUUAUUGGGCGUAAAGAGCUCGUAGGCGGUUUGUCGCGUCUGCUGUGAAAUCCGGAGGCUCAACCUCCGGCCUGCAGUGGGUACGGGCAGACUAGAGUGCGGUAGGGGAGAUUGGAAUUCCUGGUGUAGCGGUGGAAUGCGCAGAUAUCAGGAGGAACACCGAUGGCGAAGGCAGAUCUCUGGGCCGUAACUGACGCUGAGGAGCGAAAGGGUGGGGAGCAAACAGGCUUAGAUACCCUGGUAGUCCACCCCGUAAACGUUGGGAACUAGUUGUGGGGUCCAUUCCACGGAUUCCGUGACGCAGCUAACGCAUUAAGUUCCCCGACCUGGGGAGUACGGCCGCAAGGCUA